AAAACAUUUCACGGAUCUGAGCAAAUCUCCCCAUGGUCACAGUAAGAAAGUUCAUCCUAAGAAAUCUGGUCGCGAUUCAAGCUGAGACCUUAGCGUUCCAGUGUUGAUUCAGACUAUUAAAAGAUUGACAAAGGAGAAGGUGC